UCAGGCUAAUGGAUCUUGAAGAGCAUUCUAGAACAGAGCAAAGUGACUUUGAAUUGCUCAAGAAGGCUCUUACCAUUGAUAACCAGAAAGAUAACAAACAAAUGACAAAUGAUUCAGAGGAAACAAAGUUGAUGACUAGAAACAAAUGGUCUGCUAUAGUAUAUAGGCGAGGUCAGAA